CCUAAUUUUGGAAAUGAUAGACUAGAAGGAAAGCAGUUAGACAACAUCACCCACCGCCAUUCUUUACCAACGUACAUUGGGGUUAGUCGUCACAUUAUAAUAUCCCCACGGCUGAAGGGGCGAGUAUGUUCGGCGACGGGUUUUGAUACCGCGAACCGCAGCUUGCGAAAGGAGUGCCCUAACCAGCAAAGCAUACCGGGUCUACCACUGCGAUUAUUAGGCUUAAGUCAUUAAUUAAAAACAUAUUAUAACUGUAGAUUGCUCAGAAUUCUUACUAUUGUUUUGGUUUUCUGAUGACCAGACCUACACGGAACAUCAUCUGAAGGAACACAGACUAUCCGGACUGAGAUGGCAAACAUUGUGUGUCUGUGAGGAUCAGCCAUGCUCCACUUCUGUUGUCCCUUAACGUCAAAAUGAGCAGUCCUACCUUAUGACGAUUCUCUUGUUAAUCUCGAUAUUUUCUCGAACAUCUGUGGCACUGAUGUAUCAACUUCAACAGAAUAAUCAUAACUAGUUGCAUAAAAACUCACCAGGGGGCUGCUCAAAACCCUAGUUACAAAGUUUAGAAAAGACUUGGACCGUGUUGGAUUGGAUUGUUGGAACUAGA